UACGUAGGUGGCGAGCGUUGUCCGGAUUUAUUGGGCGUAAAGCGCGCGCAGGCGGUACGGCAAGUCCUGUGUGAAAUCUCCCGGCUCAACCGGGAGGGUGCGGAGGAGACUGUCGAACUGGAGGGACCGAGAGGCCGGUGGAAUUCCCGGUGUAGUGGUGAAAUGCGUAGAUAUCAAGAGGAACACCUGAGGUGAAGACGGGUUGCUGGGCCAACACUGACGCUGAUGCGCGAAGGCUAGGGGAGCGAACGGG
rnacentral:rRNA from 1 species